UACGAAGGGGGCUAGCGUUGCUCGGAAUCACUGGGCGUAAAGCGCACGUAGGCGGCUUGUUAAGUCAGGGGUGAAAUCCUGGAGCUCAACUCCAGAACUGCCUUUGAUACUGGCGAGCUUGAGUUCGGGAGAGGUGAGUGGAACUGCGAGUGUAGAGGUGAAAUUCGUAGAUAUCGAGAGGAACACCGGUGGCGAAGGCGGCCUUCUGGACAGUGACUGACGCUGAGACGCGAAAGCGUGGGGAGCAAACAGG
rnacentral:rRNA from 1 species